AUGGGUGGGCGUCGUGAUCACGGGCAGUGUCCCGCCGAGGUUGUUCUUCACCUCCGGCGGCUGGACGCUCUCCUCAAGGACCACGGCCUCGACCACACCGCCCACACGCUGGAGAUGGAGGCGGGCCUGUUCUUCGAGGCGGCGCAUCUGGAGCAGCUGGUGAGGCAAGGGCUCUGGGCCUCCGCCCACCGCUACCUGCGCCGCUUCUCGGCCCUUUGGGACGGGGACGGCGCCGCCACCCAGUACGCCACCCUCCUCAGCAGCCUCUCCCACCACUCUAUACUUGCCUGGCUGGCCUGCCGCGGCGACGAAGGCGGUCGCGCUGCCUCUUUCCUCAGGCCCUCGGAUGAGGCCAUCCGCACGGCCUGCCCCGAGGAAGCCCGACGCAAGGACAUGUACUGCUCCAUGACUUCCCAACAAGCCAGAGCAUCCUUGAACUGGGAGGAUAUAAAGCUCGAGACCUUGACGAGGGUGCAAGAGUUGGUUGAUCUGCGUCCCAACCUGGACUGCCUGCUGAAAAAUCGAUUGCCACGACACAAGCCCACGCCGCAGGAUGUCAUUCCUCUUGGCAUACUGACCAGCUUACGGGGGUCUCAGAGAUACCGGAGGAAGAGAGUCAACCAUAAGCCAGCAUGUGAUCUCGCGUAUUUUGUUCUACACAAGAGGCUGCCCGAUAUUAGUUUGGUGCCAGACUGCCACUAA
rnacentral:rRNA from 1 species